UACCAGCACCCCGAGUGGUCGGGACGUUUAUUGGGCCUAAAGCAUCCGUAGCCGGUUCUACAAGUCUUCCGUUAAAUCCACCUGCUUAACAGAUGGGCUGCGGAAGAUACUAUAGAGCUGGGAGGCGGGAGAGGCAAGCGGUACUCGAUGGGUAGGGGUAAAAUCCGUUGAUCCAUUGAAGACCACCAGUGGCGAAGGCGGCUUGCCAGAACGCGCUCGACGGUGAGGGAUGAAAGCUGGGGGAGCAAACCGG
rnacentral:rRNA from 1 species